UUUACCUCCUUCGAGUCCUAGUACGUUCUGCCCCCGCCCCCCGCGUAGUGUUCAUCCAUGUUUAAUACAGCUCUGUGUCUGUUUAACAGCGUAUCGCUGACCACCCCGUGUAGAGGAGAUGGAGACAAAACUACGGCAAAAGGCUUCAGGUAUCUGAAAUACGAAAUCCGAUCUUAACCGACGAGCUCCUGACACUCACGGUCACAGUAAGUCCGUCUACCCCUGACAGUGACACCGGCUCAUCCUUUAUGUGAAUACCCCGGUGCUGUAUGUCUGCACUGGGAAGAAAGGAAAAGGCAAAGGCGGAGAUCCCGAGGUGCUGCAAAUGAUAAAAUUGGGGAAAUGAAGUUGAUGACAACAAAAGUCAGGAAGAAGAACAGUCUAUACCUUUUUCUGAACUCAUUAAGUCACCCUAGAGAGUGUGGCUCCUACCAAAUUUCACGAUUUUGAGGUACCUGUAGUCUCAGUGCGUGUCAACCCCCACAGGCAUGCUUGUGUUCCACAACUGCUUUUGAUAACCAAGUGAAUUUUUUCCUUAAAAAUAGUAAAGCCUUCUGCCAAAUGGCUGUCUGAACAAUUAAAUUUGAGUUGAAAAAUGGAAGGAAAAAAUAUUCUGUUGGGUCAACCUGAAAUUAAAGACUUGUGGCUUUGUUGGUUGGUGAGAUCAGUUCUCAUCCAUCAUAUUUUUGUAACUAAUUAUUUUUCCAUUCAAAAUAAAAUGCGUCAAGAAACAUAUUGUUUCGGUGAAAAUAAAUGUAGGUAAAUUUGGUCUCAAAAUGUUGCUUCAAUAUGGAAAAUGGAUUAAUUCAAUUUUUGUCUUUUCCAAAAUUAUUACUUUUUUGGCUGUUCUCAUGACAGUAAGGAAAACUC